GAGCUCAAAUUUAUAAUCUGGCACCUUCGGUGUCCGAGUUGUAAUCUCUAGAAGUGUUUUCCGCGUUGGACCGCACACAAGUCUGUUGGAAUACAGCGGCAUAGUGGUGAAACCCCCGUAUAUGGUGCGGACGCCCAGCGCUUUGUGAUACACUUUCAAUGAGUCGAGUUGUUUGGGAAUGCAGCUCAAAUUGGGUGGUAAAUUCCAUCUAAAGCUAAAUAUUGGCGAGAGACCGAUAGCGAACAAGUACCGUGAGGGAAAGAUGAAAAGCACUUUGGAAAGAGAGUUAACAGUACGUGAAAUUGUUGGAAGGGAAACGCUUGAAGUCAGACUUGCUUGCCGGAGCUUGCUUCGGUUUGCAGGCCAGCAUCAGUUUUCCGGGGUGGAUAAUGACGGUUUGAAGGUAGCAGUCUCGGCUGUGUUAUAGCUUUCCGUUGGAUACAUCCUGGGGGACUGAGGAACGCAGCGUGCUUUUUGCGAAAGACUCGUCUUUUUCACGCUUAGGAUGCUGGUGGAAUGGCUUUAAACGACCCGUCUUGAA
rnacentral:rRNA from 1 species